UUUCUAUCUUGCUAAAGUCUUCAUGCAACUAUUGUUCUGUAAAUACUUGGGUCGUGGAACGGGUUUCAGGAUUGAUGGUGCUUACUUUAUCAAUUGGGAAAAAUAUAGGGGCCAUUCAUAUGUUGAAGUUCACUACUACAGGACAACAGGAGAUGCGGCUCACACCCAUCCCAACCCCAUCUGUGGAGAUUGCUGCUUAUGUUACACACCUUUAAGAGUCAUCGAUGAUGGGAGAACACCAGGGUUCCCUUGUGCUGGCCAUCCUGUCGUCCAUCCUCCUCUUUGUCAUCACGCUGGUGUUCAAUGGUCUGGCGGGACCUGGAAUAUAUCCAUUUCUGGGGACAACGGCCAACAUAUCAGGGGAGUAUGAGACGGAGAUCACGCCUGCAGGCUGGACCUUCGCCAUCUGGUCUCUUAUAUACGUGUGGCUGGUCCUCAUGUUCGUCUACAUCCUCUCCGGCUGCUGCAGGAAAAACUCCUACGGCUAUGUGUACUGCAGUCCUCCUGUCCUUUCACAUGGCUUUUUCAUGGCAUGGUGCAUGAACAUGGGCUUGAACACUGCAUGGCUGUUUCUGUGGGAUAGAAGCUUGAUGAUCGUUGCCGCUGUGUUCCUUCUCCUGAUUGCCGGCUCAAACUACAUCAUGAUCUCCUUCGCCUGCCGCGGUCUCCAUGUUCACGGCGCGUGGCUCAGCAAAUAUCACAGACUCGAUCUUUGGCUGCACCGUGUGUGUGUUCAGAAUGGUCUGGCCUUGUACGCUACAUGGACAACGGUCGCCACUCUUGUUAAUCUGACCAUUGUGCUCGACUACGAUGCAGAGAUGCUUCCAGAGAACGCUGCCACAGUCACUCUAUCCGUGCUUACGUGUAUUUUGCUGGCCUGGUGUGUUUUAGAGAACUGGGUCCUGGAGAGGCAUGUGCGCUACAUCGUGACAGUGUAUCCAGUGGUGAUCUGGGCCCUCUGUGGGGCCGUGUCCAGCCACUUCGACCCCAGCGCACCCAGCCAGAGUGGCCUCUUCCUAGUGGCGCUCCUGGCCCUGUCCUGCGCGCGCUGUGUGCUGUGAAGCUUGGCCUGGCGGUCUGGAGGCACGUCAAGCGGCCCCUGUAUCAAGACGUGAAGGCAGAGGACAUGGAGCCCAUGGAAAUUGCUCAAAGACAGAAAAAGAUUUUUAAAUGAACAUUGUUGCACUUAACCCAGAAGAUUAGACACAACAUCCGAAUUAAUGAUAUAUUUUGCAUACUUUUGUAUUUAUAAUGACUUUUGCGUAUUUUGUGUCAAUUGUGUGUUUGGCUCAAAGCCCAAUUUUGUGUCAUUUGUAUUUUUAACGAAGUUGAAAAAAAAAACAAAUAUGUGCUUUAGUACAUUCUGUUGAACAAAUAAUAUAAA
ensembl:lncRNA